GUUGCCCUGGUGUAGUUGGUCAUCACGUCAGUCUAACACACUGAAGGUCGCCGGUUCAAGUCCGGCGGGCAAUA
rfam:Pseudocercospora fijiensis CIRAD86 unplaced genomic scaffold MYCFIscaffold_3, whole genome shotgun sequence.